rnacentral:rRNA from 1 species
GUCACAUGGGGGGGCCCUGACCGCAAUGCCGCGUGAGUGAAGAAGGCCUUCGGGUUGUAAAGCUCUUUUGUCAGGGAAGAAACACCGGCUCUAACACAGUCCGGGAAUGACGGUACCUGAAGAAUAAGCACCGGCUAACUACGUGCCAGCAGCCGCGGUAAUACGUAGGGUGCGAGCGUUAAUCGGAAUUACUGGGCGUAAAGCGUGCGCAGGCGGUUAUACAAGACAGGCGUGAAAUCCCCGGGCUUAACCUGGGAAUGGCGCCUGUGACUGUAUAGCUAGAGUGUGUCAGAGGGGGGUAGAAUUCCACGUGUAGCAGUGGGGGUGCGGGAGAUAUGUGGAGGAAUACCAAUGGCGAAGGCAGCCCCCUGGGAUAACACUGACGCUCAUGCACGAAA